AACCACUCUCGGCAACGGAUAUCUCGGCUCUUGCAUCCAUGAAUAACGUAGAUAAAUGCGAUACCUGCAGUGAAUUGAUUAAUCCCCGGAACCCUUCAAUUUUUGAACGCAAAUUGCCGCCAAAGACUUUUGGUUGAUGGCACAUCUGCCUGGGUGUCC
rnacentral:rRNA from 1 species